AGAGUUUGAUCAUGGCUCAGGACGAACGCUGGCGGCACGCUUAACACAUGCAAGUCGAACGAGAGAAGAGGAGCUUGCUUUUCUGAUCUAGUGGCGGACGGGUGAGUAACACGUGAGCAAUCUGCCUUUCAGAGGGGGAUACCGAUUGGAAACGAUCGUUAAUACCGCAUAACAUAAUUGAACCGCAUGAUUUGAUUAUCAAAGAUUUAUCGCUGAAAGAUGAGCUCGCGUCUGAUUAGCUAGUUGGUAAGGUAACGGCUUACCAAGGCGACGAUCAGUAGCCGGACUGAGAGGUUGAUCGGCCACAUUGGGACUGAGACACGGCCCAGACUCCUACGGGAGGCAGCAGUGGGGAAUAUUGCACAAUGGAGGAAACUCUGAUGCAGCGAUGCCGCGUGAGGGAAGGAGGUUUUAGGAUUGUAAACCUCUGUCUUCAGGGACGAAAAAAGACGGUACCUGAGGAGGAAGCUCCGGCUAACUACGUGCCAGCAGCCGCGGUAAUACGUAGGGAGCGAGCGUUGUCCGGAAUUACUGGGUGUAAAGGGAGCGUAGGCGGGAUCGCAAGUCAGAUGUGAAAACUAUGGGCUUAACCCAUAAACUGCAUUUGAAACUGUGGUUCUUGAGUGAAGUAGAGGUAAGCGGAAUUCCUAGUGUAGCGGUGAAAUGCGUAGAUAUUAGGAGGAACAUCAGUGGCGAAGGCGGCUUACUGGGCUUUAACUGACGCUGAGGCUCGAAAGCGUGGGGAGCAAACAGGAUUAGAUACCCUGGUAGUCCACGCCGUAAACGAUGAUUACUAGGUGUGGGGGGACUGACCCCUUCCGUGCCGCAGCAAACGCAAUAAGUAAUCCACCUGGGGAGUACGACCGCAAGGUUGAAACUCAAAGGAAUUGACGGGGGCCCGCACAAGCAGUGGAGUAUGUGGAUUAAUUCGAAGCAACGCGAAGAACCUUACCAGGUCUUGACAUCGUAUGCAUAGCUCAGAGAUGAGUGAAAUCUCUUCGGAGACAUAUAGACAGGUGGUGCAUGGUUGUCGUCAGCUCGUGUCGUGAGAUGUUGGGUUAAGUCCCGCAACGAGCGCAACCCUUACUGUUAGUUGCUACGCAAGAGCACUCUAGCAGGACUGCCGUUGACAAAACGGAGGAAGGUGGGGAUGACGUCAAAUCAUCAUGCCCCUUAUGACCUGGGCCUCACACGUACUACAAUGGCUGUCAACAGAGGGAAGCAAAGCCGCGAGGUGGAGCGAACCCCUAAAAGCAGUCUUAGUUCGGAUUGUAGGCUGCAACCCGCCUACAUGAAGUCGGAAUUGCUAGUAAUCGCAGAUCAGCAUGCUGCGGUGAAUACGUUCCCGGGCCUUGUACACACCGCCCGUCACGCCAUGGGAGUCGGUAACACCCGAAGCCUGUAGUAUAACCGCAAGGAGGACGCAGUCGAAGGUGGGAUUGAUGACUGGGGUGAAGUCGUAACAAGGUA
rnacentral:rRNA from 1 species